ensembl:lncRNA
GAAAAAAAGAAAAAAUGAACAAAAAAGAAGAAAAAGAGAAAAGAUAAAAAAAGAAAAAAGAUAAAGAAAAGAGAAAGAAAAAAAAGAAAAUAGAAAUAAAAAAAGGACAGAAAAAUAUGAAAAAAAGAAAAAAAGAAAAGAAAAAAACAGUAGAUGAAAACAAGAAAAAACCAAAGGAAAAACGAAUAAUGACAAGAGAAGAAAGGUAAAGAGAAAAGAAGAAAAAAGCCAAGUCAAAAAGUAAAGAAUAACUCGAAGGAAGGAGUGGAUGGCAAGAAAUACAGAGAAAGCAGUGCAUAGCACAGCAGAGCAAAGCAAGGCAAAAUAGCAGCCAAAGCCACGAGAAUCAAGAAGUCAGUGAAGAGCAGGAAAGGUAAGUUUCCCUUAAAGCAAGGGGGAAUGGUAGUGGAAGGGAGAAAAGAGAG